rnacentral:rRNA from 1 species
AUUGAACGCUGGCGGCUGCUUUACACAUGCAAGUCGGACGGCAGCACAGAGAAGCUUGCUUCUUGGGUGGCGAGUGGCGAACGGGUGAGUAACAUAUCGGAACGUACCGAGUAAUGGGGGAUAACUAAUCGAAAGAUUAGCUAAUACCGCAUAUUCUCUGAGGAGGAAAGCAGGGGACCUUCGGGCCUUGCGUUAUUCGAGCGGCCGAUAUCUGAUUAGCUAGUUGGUGGGGUAAAGGCCUACCAAGGCGACGAUCAGUAGCGGGUCUGAGAGGAUGAUCCGCCACACUGGGACUGAGACACGGCCCAGACUCCUACGGGAGGCAGCAGUGGGGAAUUUUGGACAAUGGGCGCAAGCCUGAUCCAGCCAUGCCGCGUGUCUGAAGAAGGCCUUCGGGUUGUAAAGGACUUUUGUCAGGGAAGAAAAGGCUGUCGCUAAUACCGACAGUUGAUGACGGUACCUGAAGAAUAAGCACCGGCUAACUACGCGCCAGCAGCCGCGGUAAUACGUAGGGUGCAAGCGUUAAUCGGAAUUACUGGGCGUAAAGCGAGCGCAGACGGUUACUUAAGCAGGAUGUGAAAUCCCCGGGCUCAACCUGGGAACUGCGUUCUGAACUGGGUGACUAGAGUGUGUCAGAGGGAGGUAGAAUUCCACGUGUAGCAGUGAAAUGCGUAGAGAUGUGGAGGAAUACCGAUGGCGAAGGCAGCCUCCUGGGAUAACACUGACGUUCAUGCUCGAAAGCGUAGGUAGCAAACAGGAUUAGAUACCCUGGUAGUCCACGCCCUAAACGAUGUCAAUUAGCUGUUGGGCAACUUGAUUGCUUAGUAGCGUAGCUAACGCGUGA